GAUUAUGGAUUUUCUAAUUAUAUAAGUCAGAAGUAGAAAAAGGGACACAAACUAAGAAGGGUGCUGAGCGCUCGUCACCUGGAGGGACUUGUGCCUCUCUCAGUGGUAGUAGAGAGGCUACUUCUUCCUGCAACGGUCGCGACUGAGAGGCAAUGGGUGGCGAGCCUACAGGGGACGUCGUCGAGGAGAAAUGGGAUAACUUUAAGGGAGCAGACAGACAAGGGGAGGGGUUCCUGUGAUGGGAUCAGUCAGAUGCCUGCCUGGCCGCUCCCCCUGAGGGGACUUGGGCUCCUCUUAGCAUUGGCAGGCCGGUAUAAACUUCCGGCUCAGAUCGAGCUAUGCCUGAUGCUGCCUUAAGCCUUAUGAGGUCACCACGGAACCGCAGAAACUCCUGGAGGGCAGAGCUGUGCCUACCAUCUUCAUCAUUGCAUUACCACCACCCAGCACAGUGCCUGGCACAAAAGAGUUGCUCAAUACAUAAAUCAGGAUGAACAGAUAAAUACAUGGAUAGGCACUUUGGACUACAGAUGAGCUUAAAUACUUUGUGUUUUUCUUAGUCAAACAUGUGCAAUAAGCAAGUGAUAAAUGAUAUGAUGACCACA
rnacentral:lncRNA from 1 species